rnacentral:rRNA from 1 species
UCGGGAAUAUUGCGCAAUGGAGGAAACUCUGACGCAGUGACGCCGCGUAUAGGAAGAAGGUUUUCGGAUUGUAAACUAUUGUCGUUAGGGAAGAGAAAGGACAGUACCUAAGGAGGAAGCUCCGGCUAACUACGUGCCAGCAGCCGCGGUAAUACGUAGGGAGCGAGCGUUAUCCGGAAUUAUUGGGUGUAAAGGGUGCGUAGACGGGAGAGCAAGUUAGUUGUGAAAUCCCUCGGCUUAACUGAGGAACUGCAACUAAAACUACCCUUCUUGAGUGCAGGAGAGGUAAGUGGAAUUCCUAGUGUAGCGGUGAAAUGCGUAGAUAUUAGGAGGAACACCAGUGGCGAAGGCGACUUACUGGACUGUAACUGACGUUGAGGCACGAAAGUGUGGGGAGCAACAGGAUUAGAUACC